rnacentral:rRNA from 1 species
GACGAACGCUGGCGGCGUGCUUAACACAUGCAAGUCGAGCGGAAAGGCCCUUCGGGGUACUCGAGCGGCGAACGGGUGAGUAACACGUGAGUAACCUGCCCCAGACUUUGGGAUAACCCUCGGAAACGGGGGCUAAUACCGGAUACAACACAGCUUCGCAUGGGGUCUGUGUGGAAAGUUUUUCGGUUUGAGAUGGGCUCGCGGCCUAUCAGCUUGUUGGUGGGGUGAUGGCCUACCAAGGCGACGACGGGUAGCCGGCCUGAGAGGGCGACCGGCCACACUGGGACUGAGACACGGCCCAGACUCCUACGGGAGGCAGCAGUGGGGAAUAUUGCACAAUGGGCGGAAGCCUGAUGCAGCGACGCCGCGUGAGGGAUGACGGCCUUCGGGUUGUAAACCUCUUUCAGCAGGGACGAAGCGUAAGUGACGGUACCUGCAGAAGAAGCGCCGGCCAACUACGUG